UUUUUUUUUUUUUUUUUUUCCCUCUUUUAUUAUAAAUAAAUUAACAAAUCUCACCCUUGCAUCGAGUGUUGUAUUGACACACCACGCAGCACACACAUGACACAACACAGCAUCGCACAACCAAAUGACACCCACAAAGAGGGAGACAAAGAGGGACGCUAGUCUCACUUUGCGUCUCUCGCUCGCGGAGCCCUGACCCCCGGAAAUCCAGACAGACCCGUUUGCAAUUCGCUUCUCUUUUCGCUAAAUUCGUUGAUUCUUUCCCGUCGACAUGUUGGAGGGUCCAACCUUUCUUGUUUCGAGGGACUUACCGAGCUCAUGUGAGCAAGAGACCAGGUGGAUUUACAAUUCCUUCUGUGUCAUGGAGCUCGGGAACAGUAAACGUCGACUGGAGCUAGAGGAAGAUGCUGUUGGGUUGAAAAAGUCAUGCAAGCUUUCAGACCCUCAUGAGGAAGGGGAAACAAAGAAGAAUAUCCAAGAUCUUUCCCUGUUUGUUAACCAAGCGAAUGACCAAAAUCAUGCAAGUGAUCAGUCAGAUUCAAGUUCGCUUAUCUUUCAGCUUGGUCGGGACAUCUCUAUUAAUUGUCUCCUACGAUGCUCAAGGUCUGACUAUGGUUCGAUUGCCUCAUUGAACCAAAGUUUUCGAUCUCUCAUCCGGACUGGAGAGCUUUAUAGGCUGAGGCGCCAGAUGGGUAUCAUAGAGCAUUGGGUUUACUUCUCAUGUAAUCUCCCCGAAUGGGAGGCAUUUGAUCCCAACACUGGUCGAUGGAUGCGCUUGCCUAGAAUGCCUUCUAAUGAAUGCUUCAUCUGUUCAGAUAAGGAGUCAUUGGCUGUUGGUACUGAGCUUCUUGUUUUUGGAAAGGAAAUAAUGUCACCUGUCAUUUACAGAUAUAGCAUCUUGAUGAACUCAUGGUCAUCUGGUAUGGAAAUGAAUGUUCCUAGAUGCUUGUUUGGUUCUGCUAGCCUCGGAGAAGUUGCCAUAUUAGCUGGUGGAUGUGAUCCACGUGGCAACAUCUUGAGCUCAGCUGAGCUUUAUAACUCAGAAACUGGAACGUGGGAGCUUCUUCCAAACAUGAAUAAAGCAAGGAAAAUGUGUUCCGGUGUAUUUAUAGAUGGGAAAUUUUAUGUCAUUGGCGGAAUUGGAGUAGGUAACUCUAGGCAGCUAACAUGCGGUGAGGAGUUUGAUAUGCAGACAAGGAAAUGGCGGGAAAUACCCAACAUGUUCCCUGGGAGAAAUGGUGGAUCUGAGGCGAUUGACGUAUCGGCUGCUGCUGAGGCACCUCCUUUGGUUGCAGUUGUAAAUAAUGUAUUGUAUGCUGCAGAUUAUGCCCAACAAGAGGUAAGGAAAUAUGAUAAAGACAGUAAUUCAUGGAUCACUAUUGGAAGAUUACCUGACCGGAUAGUAUCGAUGAAUGGCUGGGGAUUAGCCUUUCGGGCAUGUGGAAAUCGUCUAAUUGUUAUUGGUGGGCCAAGAGCUUUAGAUGGAAGGGUAAUUGAGAUCAAUGCUUGUGUCCCUGGUGAAGGUGAACCACAGUGGAACCUGCUUGCUAGCAGGCAAUCAGGGAGCUUUGUGUAUAACUGCGCAGUGAUGGGAUGCUAAGGUGUAUGCUUUUGGUGAGUAGUGCUAUAUGGAUUUCUUCUGAAUGGAAUUAACAUUCUUCACUCUCAAGGAGAUGCUUCUGGCUCAUGGGUAAUCUCUGCCCACUUUUUGGGUAAUCCAAGCACCAGAUUGAAAACACAAAUAUUUUGAGUCAGAGAAGCAAUUAGAAUCUACUUGUGUGAAGUUACAGACCAAGAGUUUCACUAGCACACCCAUAUCUCUUAUUUUCAUUUUAUUUCCUUUUCCUUGGUUGGCUGAUUUGUGUGGGAAGAGCAACUCUGACAUAGAAGAGAUAAUAAGUAUAUAGUUGUUGGAGACAAUAUGGGAAGUACAAAUUGUACAAUGCAACUAUGCAAGUAAUGGAAACAGAUGGUGAUGUGUGCCCCAUCUACAUGUGCACUGACCCAUGACGGAACUGUUACAGUGCCACGUGGGUGGGGGGUGGUUGAUAUCAUCUGAUGCUUAUCUCA